UACGAAGGGGGCUAGCGUUGCUCGGAAUCACUGGGCGUAAAGCGCACGUAGGCGGAUCUUUAAGUCAGGGGUGAAAUCCCGGAGCUCAACUCCGGAACUGCCUUUGAUACUGAGGAUCUCGAGUUCGGGAGAGGUGAGUGGAACUGCGGGUGUAGAGGUGAAAUUCGUAGAUAUUCGCAGGAACACCAGUGGCGAAGGCGGCUCACUGGCCCGAUACUGACGCUGAGGUGCGAAAGCGUGGGGAGCAAACAGG
rnacentral:misc_RNA from 1 species